UACGUAGGGGGCUAGCGUUAUCCGGAAUUAUUGGGCGUAAAGGGUGCGUAGGCGGUCCUACAAGUCAGAGGUGAAAGGCUACGGCUCAACCGUAGUAAGCCUUUGAAACUGUAGGACUUGAGUGCAGGAGAGGAGAGUGGAAUUCCCAGUGUAGCGGUGAAAUGCGUAGAUAUCGAGAGGAACACCUGCGGCGAAGGCGGGUGGCUGGGCCGACACUGACGCUGAGGCGCGAAAGCCAGGGGAGCAAACGGG
rnacentral:rRNA from 1 species